rnacentral:rRNA from 1 species
CACGAACGCUGGCGGCAGGCUUAACACAUGCAAGUCGAGCGCCCCGCAAGGGGAGCGGCAGACUGGUGAGUAACGCGUGGGAAUCUACCCAUCUCUACGGAAUAACGCAUGGAAACGUGUGCUAAUACCGUAUACGUCCUUCGGGAGGAAGAUUUAUCGGAGAUGGAUGAGCCCGCGUUGGAUUAGCUAGUUGGUGGGGUAACGGCCUACCAAGGCGACGAUCCAUAGCUGGUCUGAGAGGAUGAUAAGCCACACUGUGACUGCGACACGGCCCAGACGUCAAGGUGAGGGAGCCAUGGGGAAUAUUGGACAAGGCGCGAAAGCAGGCUCCUGCCAUGCCGCGUGAGUGAUAAAGGCCCGAGGGUUGCAAAGAUCAUUCACCGGUGAAGAUAAUGACGGUAACCGGAGAAGAAGCCCCGGAUACCUUCGUGCCAGCCGCCGCCGUAACAC